rnacentral:rRNA from 1 species
GGAGUUUGGUCCGUGUCUCAGUACCAAUGUGGGGGACCUUCCUCUCAGAACCCCUACUGAUCGUUGCCUCGGUGGGCCGUUACCCCGCCGACAAGCUAAUCCUACGCAUCCCCAUCCCAAGGCGAUGAAUCUUUACUCCUCCUCAGAUGCCAUCAAAAGAGACCAUCAGGUAUUAAUCCGACUUUCGCCGGGCGUGUCCCUCGACCUCGGGGCGAGGUUGGAUACGCGUUACUCACCCGUGCGCCGGUCGCCAUCAAACUUAGCAAGCUAAGUUCAUGCUGCCCCUCGACUUGCAUGUGUUAAGCCUGUAGCUAGCGUUCAUC